UCCCGAUUGGCUCGGGCAGUCUCGUGUGAAAAAUACAACACACGACAAGGGUUGCGCUCGUUGCGGGACUUAACCCAACAUCUCACGACACGAGCUGACGACGGCCAUGCAACACCUGUCACCGCGCUCCCGAAGGCACUCUCCGAUCUCUCGGAGAUUCGCGGGAUGUCAAGGGUCGGUAAGGUUCUUCGCGUAUCAUCGAAUUAAACCACAUGCUCCACCGCUUGUGCGGGUCCCCGUCAAUUCCUUUGAGUUUUAGCCUUGCGGCCGUACUCCCCAGGCGGGAUGCUUAACGCGUUAGCUUCGCAACACAGAGGGUCGAUACUCCAUACUACUAGCAUCCAUCGUUUACGGCGUGGACUAC
rnacentral:misc_RNA from 1 species